CUGUCGGGGGCCUCCGGGCCUCCGGUUCAAGAUAUCACCCUUGCAUUUGAGUACCUUCUGUUUCCUCGGCGGGUCCGCCCGCCCGAGGACCACACCAAAACCUUCAGUAGUUGCAGUAAACGUCUUGAAAACAAAAUUAAAUUA
rnacentral:misc_RNA from 1 species